UCCUAAAAAACACACGUCAAAUCAGUACCAUUUAUUGUUGGGCACAAAAUUAUUAAUUAUAUUAUACUAGUAUAACAUAAUAUAACCAAGUUGGCUAGCCUAGUGGUGAAAAUGGACACUUGGAUUGAGCUCUGAACCCAAAACAAAAUGUGGAUAUGACUGUAUAAGGGUCAUAUAUACUACUGUGUGACUAAGACUAAUGAAAGUGCUACUUAUGUGGACAGCCACAUAAAAUUUGGGACAAGUCAAUUUAACAACCAAAUAGUAUCAUUAUUCAUUCAUAACUACUCCCACCAACUACACUGCUUAUCAUGCCUGGCCAGUCAUCACAAAAGGACAAAAUAUCCGAUACCCGAAAUUGUGGGGAGUUGUUUACUUUUACUGGACCGUGUGUGUAAUUAAACUAAGCAUAGUAUUUUUUACUGUCACAGUAGAAAAGAAAUAACGACCUUACCGGAAAACGGAGAAAUCGGAGGAGUAGAACCGGCAGGAGAAACCGGAGGCGAUCCACUCUGGUACCCUGGCGGUUUCACGAUCAUGAUACUACGCGUCACUCUAGUCGCUUCCUCCGACGAUUCGUCACCGUACGAUCUCACGCUCCCGCCCUCCGCUUCUGAUCAAUAAUCAAUAAAUAAAUAUGCCUAAUCGUUAGCAUAUUUUGAUGUUUUAAAACGGAGAAAAAUAUCUAUGAGCGUUUCAGAUGCAAUUAGAUAUCUCCAAAUUAAAGUGGUUAGGUUUAGGUUAUUUCAUCUCCCAAACUAUCUUUUACUAUUAUUACUUUUAGAUCAUGUGCAAAUGAUUUAGAUAAUUCCGAACUUGGAGGAUUCGAGCUUGAAAAGCGUGUUUAGGGUGCAGAUCUGAUAGCAUGCAACCUAAAACACACAAAUCGGUCUCCGAUUCGAAUUUACGAGUGGGUUAGAUUAUAAAAAUGAUAAUUAUGAUGAUGAUAACAAGAGUUGAGUUAACGAUUGUAGUUGUGGACUUGUAGUUAAACGAAAAUCGUUGGUGACUUAUAUGAGUGUGAUUAACGAGGCACUGAGGCAGGGCGUACCCUUGCCGGAGCUAGGUCGGAAAGUGAAGGUGUGGUGUUUCCGGAGCUUGCCGAGACCGUUUUCCGGCCUUGGGCCGGCGACGGUGUCGUCCCACAAGUGGUCGAGGAGGCCCAUAUGGAUCAAGCGUAUUUUAGCAGAUCCGGCGUAUGGA
rnacentral:lncRNA from 1 species